rnacentral:rRNA from 1 species
GUGCCAGCAGCCGCGGUAAUACGUAGGGUGCAAGCGUUGUCCGGAUUUAUUGGGCGUAAAGAGCUCGUAGGCGGCACAGUAGGUCAGAAGUUAAAACGCAGGGCUCAACCCUGCGUCGCUUUUGAAACCGCUGAGCUUGAGUAUGGCAGGGGAAGACGGAAUUCCACGUGUAGCGGUGAAAUGCGCAGAUAUGUGGAGGAACACCAAUGGCGAAGGCAGUCUUCUGGGCCAUCACUGACGCUGAGGAGCGAAAGCGUGGGGAGCGAACAGGAUUAGAUACCCUGGUAGUCC